rnacentral:rRNA from 1 species
GACAGAGGGUGCAAACGUUGUUCGGAAUUACUGGGCGUAAAGCGCGUGUAGGCGGCCCUGCAAGUCGGAUGUGAAAUCCCACGGCUCAACCGUGGAAGUGCAUUCGAAACUGCAGGGCUAGAGUCCUGGAGAGGAAGGUGGAAUGCUUGGUGUAGAGGUGAAAUUCGCAGAUAUCAAGCGGAACACCGGUGGCGAAGGCGGCCUUCUGGACAGUGACUGACGCUGAGACGCGAAAGCGUGGGGAGCAAACAGGG